rnacentral:rRNA from 1 species
CCUACGGGUGGCAGCAGUGAGGAAUAUUGGUCAAUGGACGAGAGUCUGAACCAGCCAAGUAGCGUGAAGGAUGACUGCCCUAUGGGUUGUAAACUUCUUUUAUAUGGGAAUAAAAUGUUCCACGUGUGGGAUUUUGUAUGUACCAUAUGAAUAAGGAUCGGCUAACUCCGUGCCAGCAGCCGCGGUAAUACGGCGGAUCCUAGCUUUAUCCGGGUUUAUUGGGUUUAAAGGGAGCGUAGGUGGAUUGUUAAGUAAGUUGUGAAAGUUUGCGGCUCAACCGUAAAAUUGCAGUUGAAACUGGCAGUCUUGAGUACAGUAGAGGUGGGCGGAAUUCGUGGUGUAGCGGUGAAAUGCUUAGAUAUCACGAAGAACUCCGAUUGCGAAGGCAGUUCACUGGACUGCAACUGACACUGAGGCUCGAAAGUGUGGGUAUCAAACAGGAUUAGAUACCCCUGUAGUC